GAUGAAGAACGCAGCGAAAUGCGAUAAGUAAUGUGAAUUGCAGAAUUCAGUGAAUCAUCGAAUCUUUGAACGCACAUUGCGCCCCCUGGUAUUCCGGGGGGCAUGCCUGUUCGAGCGUCAUUUCACCACUCAAGCCUCGCUUGGUAUUGGGCAACGCGGUCCGCCGCGUGCCUCAAAUCGACCAGCUGGGUCUUCUGUCCCCUAAGCGUUGUGGAAACUAUUCGCUAAAGGGUGUUCGGGAGGCUACGCCGUAAAACAACCCCUUUUCUAAGGUUGACCUCGGAUCAGGUAGGGAUACCCGCUGAACUUAAGCAUAUCAAUAAGCGGAGGA
rnacentral:misc_RNA from 1 species